UUACCUCCUCAGCAAACCUGGCUUGUUUUGAAGUCAUGGAAGGCAUUUUUUGAAGACAAAAACCUUGUGUCUGAGCUUUGAACUCAGUGAUGUUUGCCAUGAUUUCUAGAAUCUCUCUACCUUGAGUUUUGGUGCAAAAUUUCACCGGGGAACUGAAUAUUGAGCAACAAUACAUAGACAAUAACACCAGCUAUUGCCAGACAAGAUAUUGCAGCGAUGCCAUAAAGUCCUUCUCCAGUUCCUGCUUUCCUGAUCCGCUUGGCACCAAAUGGUAACUGGACUUCUCCUUAUUAUCAUAAAAACCAGGGGGGUUUCUUCUUGCUGUUACUUGUUUUGUCAAAGAUCCAGUGAUUGGUAACAUGUGAAUUAACAUUUUGCAGGACGAGCAGAGCAGAGCCUGCAAACAGCGAUGAGAAGUGAGACUCUGAAAAGCCAUGGUAGCAUUUACAUCUCUGGCAAGAAUCAGGGCUGGAAAACCACAAUCUUUAGGAAGCAGUGGAUUUACACAUCAAAUACCUUACAUUUCUCCUGCUGGUCUCCGACCAUUAUCCUCUGCUCUCAGUAGAACAGUGUAUUUAACGGCUUCAUUAAUGCCAGAGUGAAAAUUAUCUACUGCUGGAGUGACUGUCGUGUGGGGAAUUUUUACACCAGAACUGGAGCAGCAUUCUGAUCCUUCAGUACUUGGGAGCAACGUUUGUAAAGGUACAAAAUUAGUGAAAAAAAAAAAAAUAUGAUGAUUUAAAAAGAUUAUCUGAAUUUAAAGCAAAACCAAUAUAUUAAGAAAGAGAAAAUGGCUGCAGAACAGGUAGAUUACCCAGAAUCUACUCAGAACAACAGUUUCACCCUUUGCAGAAAAGACUAAGGCAAAAGUGCAGGCUGGUGGCUGGGCUGAGUAAUUAAUCCACAGAGAAUGCCUUACCCAAUUAAUACAUGUUGUCUGGACAUAGAUUCGAAUUAUAGCAGUAUUUGAAAUGAUGUCUUUUCAUUUCUUUCCUCGCUACAACGCGAUUGUAAUUGAUCUGCUGGGAAUUUUUUUCAGGGCAAUAUUCAG
rnacentral:lncRNA from 1 species